rnacentral:rRNA from 1 species
UUCUGCCCAAUGAAUAUUUAAAUGGCUGCAGUAUUCUGACUGUGCAAAGGUAGCAUAAUAAUUAGUUUUUUAAUUGAGGACUUGUAUGAAUGAAUAGAUGAGUAUUUAUUUUAUUAAUUUUAUAUUUUUAAUUUAAUUUUUAAGUAAAAAAGCUUAAUUUUAUUUACGGGACGAUAAGACCCUGUAGAAUUUUAAUUUUUACUUUUUAAGGUUAUUAUUGGUUAAUAAUAAUUACUAUAAAAAUUAUAAUUUUUUGUUGGGGUGAUAAAUAAAUUUUUAACUUUAUUUAUUUUUAUUACUAGUUAGUAUUUUUUUGAUCCAAAAAUUUGAUUAAAAGAUUUAAUUACCUCAGGGAUAACAGCGUAAUUUUGAUGGGGAGUUCUUAUUUAUAUUAAAGUUUGCGACCUCGAUGUUGAAUUAAGAUUAGAUUAUGGGGUAG